rnacentral:rRNA from 1 species
ACGAACGCUGGCGGCGCGCCUAACACAUGCCAGUCGAACGAGCGAGAGAGAGCUUGCUUUCUUGAGCGAGUGGCGAACGGGUGAGUAACGCGUGAGGAACCUGCCUCAAAGAGGGGGACAACAGUUGGAAACGACUGCUAAUACCGCAUAAGCCCACGGUGCCGCAUGGCACAGAGGGAAAAGGAGCAAUCCGCUUUGAGAUGGCCUCGCGUCCGAUUAGCUAGUUGGUGAGGUAACGGCCCACCAAGGCGACGAUCGGUAGCCGGACUGAGAGGUUGAACGGCCACAUUGGGACUGAGACACGGCCCAGACUCCUACGGGAGGCAGCAGUGGGGAAUAGUGCACAAUGGGGGAAACCCUGAGGCAGCGACGCCGCGUGGAGGAAGAAGGUCUGCGGAUUGUAAACUCCUGUUGUUGGGGAAGAUAAUGACGGUACCCAACAAGGAGGUGACGGCUAACUACG